GGGCCCGGAGCUGGGCGCUCCUGCAUGGAGAAGGAUUGGCUGCGGAUGCGGAACGCCACCUCCUGCGUGCGGAACGUCAGCCCAAAGAUGUCCUCGUGGUACCGGUUCUUGUCCCGCAGCUCGCUGAUGAAGUCCCCCGCCUGCCCCAUGGUCAUUCCUCCCUGCUGCACCAGGAUGUGCUGCACGGUCUGCAGCACCUCGGUGGCCAUCGUCACGUCCCCGCACACAUACAUGUGUCCCCCGCUCUCGCACAGCACGCGGUGCACCUCCUCUGCCAGCUGUGUCCGCAGCACGUCCUGCACGUAGGUCUUGGGGGUUCCCGGCUCGCGGGAGAACGCGGUGAGGACGCGGCUGAGCGCUCCCUGCUGCUGCGCCUCCUC
rnacentral:lncRNA from 1 species